GACGAACGCUGGCGGCGUGCUUAACACAUGCAAGUCGAACGGAAAGGCCCUGCUUUUGUGGGGUGCUCGAGUGGCGAACGGGUGAGUAACACGUGAGUAACCUGCCCUUGACUUUGGGAUAACUUCAGGAAACUGGGGCUAAUACCGGAUAGGAGCUCCUGCUGCAUGGUGGGGGUUGGAAAGUUUCGGCGGUUGGGGAUGGACUGGCGGCUUAUCAGCUUGUUGGUGGGGUAGUGGCUUACCAAGGCUUUGACGGGUAGCCGGCCUGAGCGGGUGACCGGCCACAUUGGGACUGAGAUAAGGCCCAGACUCCUACGGGAGGCAGCAGUGGGGAAUAUUGCACAAUGGGCGGAAGCCUGAUGCAGCAACGCCGCGUGCGGGAUGACGGCCUUCGGGUUGUAAACCGCUUUCGCCUGUGACGAAGCGUGAGUGACGGUAAUGGGUAAAGAAGCACCGGCUAACUACGUG
rnacentral:rRNA from 1 species